CUCUGAGAAUCUGAGAUUCAGGGUGUGUGACUGCUGUAUGUAUCUUAUCUUGAACUGGAUUGAAAGUAUCAGAAAACUUGCACGGCCAAGUUGAAGAUUCUCACCAAGACUCAUGUGAGACUUCCCUCUGGAUGACCAGAGAGCUGAAAGAUGCAGGCUUGACCAGGUACAAGGCCCAUGGGGAAGGAAGGGCAAAGCAGUUUCUGCUGUGAAAGAGUUCACCCAUAAGCUCAGCUGGAGUCAUGAGUCUUCUAAGGACGAAGGAAAGGGCCAGGCAAGGCUAAUAUGGUGGAUCCGUCAACACAGAGCAAUGUGCAGAGCCCGGCAGGAUUUGUGCAGGUUGAGACAGAUGGGAGGAGAAAAGGCAGUCUAGGAGACCAAAGGAGGCUUCUCCAGCUCCGGAGGCUCAGGCAUGCCAGAAAGAGGCACUCUCUGGCUCCCCUUGGACGACCCACUGUGUACAAAGCACGCCGUCAUUCGCCAUUUUUCAGUAUCCUUAGGGCAGCCCUGAGAGUCACAUCAAGCGUGUGUUAUGAUUCCCAUUUCAUAGAUGAGAAAACUGAAGCUCAGAGACAGAAAACGAGGUCUUCAGACUCCAGGUCCAGAGUGUCAUCCCCCACCAGGUAGGACUGCUUUCUUUAGGGCCCUGGACUCAAAAGAGCAUCUGCAGUCGGCCUUUUGGACCACACAGGACCAGAGAGCCUUGGUGAAGAGUAGGUGGUUAGGGCUGUCAGGAGCACUUUUUGGUGGGCCAGAAAAGCAGGGACAAGCACAGGUGGACCAAGGAGCUGCACUCCGAGGCCUUGGGCCAAACCUGAGGGUACUGAGAAAAAGAGAGGCCUUUGAGAAGACAGAGGUGCUCGAAUUCCCCAGGUUUGCUCCUUAAUGGAGCAUGCGAGGGUCUUUCUCACAGCCAGACCCAACCUAGUACCGAUGUGUGAAGACACCAAGUACAGAAAGCCCUUCAGUCACCAGAGAUGGCCUGACUCCGAGCUGAGGGCCAGGCUGCCAGGAAAGCCAUCUGCUCUCCCGGGAGUCCAGUGACUCAGAGAUCCAGUCUGGAAGCCCUGCUGUGGGGGCACAAGAGACCAUUCGCCCCAACAUUCCCGGCCUCUCUACGGGGCUGGUGAGUGCAAGCAGGAGGGAGUGACAGUAUUGGUGAGGAAUGAAAUUGCAGCGGCUGUGUGAUGCUGUAAAUAUUUGGUUUGAAACAGCAGAGACAUUCAAGAUAAAAGUUAAAUAGAAAUAAAAGCAGUCAGAUGUUUAUUAUAUGUUGCCAUAAAAUUCAAGAGCAGCCUAAAAAGGCAGAUCAGGAUUUGUUUAACAAAUAAGAGAGGAGAAUGAAGGAGGUAGAGGUUUGACUGUGGAAGGGUGUAUUUUGCUGGAAUCUGGACAGUGAUAGAAGCAAAGUGAGAAUGACUCGGCCCUUAGACUGGGAGAAUGAGUUGUCCUUAGGUGGCUGAGAACUGGGGGAUUUCCCCAGGUCUCAAGGCCUUAAAGGGACCCACAAGUCCCCUGGCUGUCUGCAUUUCCUGCCCGUUGCAGGGGGCAAGCCCCAAGGGGAGAACAGGGUGGAAGAUCUGGGGGAGCUAAAUUCUGGGAGCGCAGGCAAUGCGGAAGCACGGUGCACACAAGGAUGUCCGGGGAGGGGCAAUGCUGGUACUGUGAGGCUGAUGGAGCCUUUUUUUCAGUCCUGCUCCCUCUCCAUAGCCAGCUCCUCAGGCCACCAUCAGAUUUUAGGCAGGGCUCAAAUGAGGAACUGGUCCAUAGUAACACAAAAUAACCCAGCUAGAAGGGCCCUUUACAGAGCUCUGUACUUGUCUAGGGGGUGGCAAGCUUUUUCUGUAAAGGGCUAGCCAGCAAAUAUUCUCCAUUUUCUGAGUCAUUCUGUCUCUGUUGCAACCGCUUUGCUCUUGCAGCAUGACAGCCCCCAUACACGAUCUGUAAAUAAAUGGACAAGGCUGGGUUCCAAUAAAACUUUAUUUAAAAAAGCAGGCUGGCCAGGCACAGUGGCUCACGCCUGUAAUCCCAGCACUUUGGGAGGCCGAGGCAGGUGGAUCACCUGAGGUCAGGAGUUCAAGACCAGCCUGGCCAACAUGGUGAAAACCCAUCUCUAUUAAAAAUACAAAAAUUAGCCGGGUGUGGUGGCAGGCAUCUGCAAUCUCAGCUACUCAGGAGGCUGAGGCAGGAGAAUCACUUGAACCCGGGAGGUGGAGGUUCUAGUGAGCCGAGAUUGUGCUAUUUGCACUCUAGCCUGGGUGACAGAGCGAGACUCCAUCUCC
rnacentral:lncRNA from 1 species